UUUCUCCUCUUCCAGUGUUCCCUCCUUUUCCUAAGCAAGGGCUCAAGAAAGGAAGAAAUCGACAGAGAGAAAUGACACGCGUUGCAACUAAUUGGAUCUACGAUAAAGGCAAAAUGGAGCCAAUAUUCUUACGAAUUGUUGGCGUGGAUCUCUUCUGGGGAAAAUGUGCAGAAGAACUAGGACAAUGAGAAUGUCCAGCAUGAAACGGUAACAACUAAAGAGGCAAACGAGGAGGCAAGAGAGUGCGAUCCAUCAUCAGGAGGAAAAAACUCGUCAUAGAAUCAGACCCAGAGACAUCGAUUACGGAAUUAGCAGGCAUGGGCUGUAAAGUAAUCCCAGUAACGGUGUUCGAGGAUUUGAGGGGGAAAGAUGCUUCAAAGAGCAUGCGAUGAACACGGGCAGAAGCUGGUCUGUGCCGGAGAACAGAGAAAUCUAAAAACCCAUGAUCAGAGUAAGAGCUUCUCGGCGCGCCUCUGGGUAACCGAAGAGAGCACAGGUCAUAUAGAUCUAGGGGCUUUGGACAUACACGUGAACCAACUUGACCUGACCCACCCCAACACGGCACACAAGCUACGAGUGUAUCCAGAAACGCUUACCGCCACCAACCACGUGCUGGGCCAUCAAAUCAGUCUCGCUUAGUUUUAAAAGAGUGACAUCACAGGAAGUGCCUUUGCUUGAGACCCUCAGGGACCCGGGGAACAAGCGCCAGGCGAGAAACCCUGUGCACCUGGGGCGCUUCCCACUGGCUGUUACUGCUAAACCGCCUGUGUCGCAGAGUAGAACCAGGAGGC